rnacentral:rRNA from 1 species
ACUCCUGCGGGAGGCAGCAGUGGGGAAUAUUGGACAAUGGGCGCAAGCAUGAUCCAGCCAUGCCGCGUGAGUGAUGAAGGCCCUAGGGUUGUAAAGCUCUUUCACCGGUGAAGAUAAUGACGGUAACCGGAGAAGAAGCCCCGACUAACUUCGUGCCAGCAGCCGCGGUAAUACGAAGGGGGCUAGCGUUGUUCGGAUUUACUGGGCGUAAAGCGCACGUAGGCGGACUAUUAAGUCAGGGGUGAAAUCCCGGGGCUCAACCCCGGAACUGCCUUUGAUACUGGUAGUCUUGAGUUCGAGAGAGGUGAGUGGAAUUCCGAGUGUAGAGGUGAAAUUCGUAGAUAUUCGGAGGAACACCAGUGGCGAAGGCGGCUCACUGGCUCGAUACUGACGCUGAGGUGCGAAAGCGUGGGGAGCAAACAGGAUUAGAUACCCCAGUAGUCCCAUGAU